rnacentral:rRNA from 1 species
AUACGGAGGGUGCGAGCGUUAAUCGGAAUUACUGGGCGUAAAGCGUACGUAGGCGGUUGGUUAAGUUAGAUGUGAAAGCCCCGGGCUUAACCUGGGAACUGCAUUUAAAACUGGCGAACUAGAGUUGAGUAGAGGGAAGUGGAAUUUCAGGUGUAGCGGUGAAAUGCGUAGAGAUCUGAAGGAACACCAGUGGCGAAGGCGACUCCCUGGACUCGAACUGACGCUGAGGUACGAAAGCGUGGGUAGCAAACGGGAUUAGAUACCCCGGUAGUCC